GUAACGACAAUGUAUAUGUAGUUUUCGUCAAAAUGUCAUAAAUAAAUUACUAAUCGAACCGGUUCGAGCUCGUUAGUCACGAAAUAAUUAAAUUAAUUAACGUAAAUAAUGUUCGCGUGCUAAAUUCUUUACCGAGUCUUCACGCCGAAAAGUUGAACCGCCUGACUGAGUUGACCGGGUCAAUUGAACCAUAUUCGAGUACUAUGCGUUCUUUGACCGGGUCAACUGAGUUGACCGAGUCAGCUUCUUAUUGA
rnacentral:lncRNA from 1 species